rnacentral:lncRNA from 1 species
CGGCCCUUCGCCUUUUCCCGCCUCCAGCCUCCGAACCUCCACACGCUGACAAAUAUUAAUGCUAGUCGUGCAAAGUUUGGAUUCCCACGGGUGGGCAUCUCAGAUGUUGGGUGUCUGGGAUUAAUAAAUGAUGCCCCCUGCUCCUCCUGACAGGGACUAUUCUUAAAACCCGUGGCUGGGACACCUCCAUUUUUCAGGGGAGCCGGUGACAGCCGCCGUCCGUAUUGAAGUUUAAACUGUACAUUGAACGACCUGCUGACGUUUCUCUUUUUCCUCUCUUCUCCUCCUCUGUCCCUCUCCCUCCUCGUGUCCCCCUCCCCUUCGUCUGUCCCUCCUCUCCCCCACUCUUCUCCUCGCUUCCCUCGGCCCACUCUCAGAUGUAACCAGCAGUUCUCCUGCAGGGAGGUUCAGAGGAGUUCUCUUCUUUCUUUUUCUGGUCGUUGGCAGCAAUCGCGAUCAAGCAUUCCAAGCAGGUGGGGGUCAAAGGGGGUCGUGGACCGAGUGGUGAGUUGGUGAGGAACGCCCGGGGCGUUGGACACGAUGUUGGCACCUGCAUGAACCUGACGUCGAAGCCUGGGCACCAGUUCUCUUUCCUGAGACGAAAACCGCAGGAUGGCGCUUGGGAAAGGUCUCGGGGGAGAGAAUGUUUCAUGACUUUCACACCUUCAACCUCAAGGAAUAGUUCUGUUCUUUAUCAAUCAACCUCGAUAUUUUAAU